AUUGAACGCUGGCGGCAGGCCUAACACAUGCAAGUCGAACGGUAACAGGAAGCAGCUUGCUGAUUCGCUGACGAGUGGCGGACGGGUGAGUAAUGUCUGGGAAGCUGCCUGAUGGAGGGGGAUAACUACUGGAAACGGUAGCUAAUACCGCAUAAUGUCGCAAGACCAAAGAGGGGGACCUUCGGGCCUCUUGCCAUCGGAUGUGCCCAGAUGGGAUUAGCUUGUUGGUGGGGUAACGGCUCACCAAGGCGACGAUCCCUAGCUGGUCUGAGAGGAUGACCAGCCACACUGGGACUGAGACACGGUCCAGACUCCUACGGGAGGCAGCAGUGGGGAAUAUUGCACAAUGGGCGCAAGCCUGAUGCAGCCAUGCCGCGUGUAUGAAGAAGGCCUUCGGGUUGUAAAGUACUUUCAGCGGGGAGGAAGGGAGUAAAGUUAAUACCUUUGCUCAUUGACGUUACCCGCAGAAGAAGCACCGGCUAACUCCGUG
rnacentral:rRNA from 1 species